rnacentral:rRNA from 1 species
GGGUUGUGAGGUUAAGCGACUAAGCGUACACGGUGGAUGCCCUGGCAGUCAGAGGCGAUGAAGGGCGUGCUAAUCUGCGAUAAGCGCCGGUAAGGUGAUAUGAACCGUUAUAACCGGCGAUACCCGAAUGGGGAAACCCAGUGUGAUUCGUCACACUAUCAUUAACUGAAUCCAUAGGUUAAUGAGGCGAACCGGGGGAACUGAAACAUCUAAGUACCCCGAGGAAAAGAAAUCAACCGAGAUUCCCCCAGUAGCGGCGAGCGAACGGGGAGGAGCCCAGAGCCUGAAUCAGCAUGUGUGUUAGUGGAAGCGUCUGGAAAGGCGCGCGAUACAGGGUGACAGCCCCGUACACAAAAGCGCAUGUGCUGUGAGCUCGAUGAGUAGGGCGGGACACGUGGUAUCCCUGUCUGAAUAUGGGGGGACCAUCCUCCAAGGCUAAAUACUCCUGACUGACCGAUAGUGAACCAGUACCGUGAGGGAAAGGCGAAAAGAACCCCGGCGAGGGGAGUGAAAAAGAACCUGAAACCGUGUACGUACAAGCAGUGGGAGCACCCUUCGGGGUGUGACUGCGUACCUUUUGUAUAAUGGGUCAGCGACUUAUAUUCUGUAGCAAGGUUAACCGUAUAGGGGAGCCGGAGGGAAACCGAGUCUUAAUUGGGCGUUAAGUUGCAGGGUAUAGACCCGAAACCCGGUGAUCUAGCCAUGGGCAGGUUGAAGGUUGGGUAACACUAACUGGAGGACCGAACCGACUAAUGUUGAAAAAUUAGCGGAUGACCUGUGGCUGGGGGUGAAAGGCCAAUCAAACCGGGAGAUAGCUGGUUCUCCCCGAAAGCUAUUUAGGUAGCGCCUCGUGAAUUCAUCUCCGGGGGUAGAGCACUGUUUCGGCUAGGGGGCCAUCCCGGCUUACCAACCCGAUGCAAACUGCGAAUACCGGAGAAUGUUAUCACGGGAGACACACGGCGGGUGCUAACGUCCGUCGUGAAGAGGGAAACAACCCAGACCGCCAGCUAAGGUCCCAAAGUCAUGGUUAAGUGGGAAACGAUGUGGGAAGGCCCAGACAGCUAGGAUGUUGGCUUAGAAGCAGCCAUCAUUUAAAGAAAGCGUAAUAGCUCACUGGUCGAGUCGGCCUGCGCGGAAGAUGUAACGGGGCUAAACCAUGCACCGAAGCUGCGGCAGCGAACGUAUCACCCAAGACAACUUUACGGGUUGACGAUUGACGGAGCGAAGCGACGUCAAAGCGUUCAUUAAAGUCGAGUUGGCUUAGGGAUACGUUCGUUGGGUAGGGAGGGUUCUGUAAGCCUGUGAAGGUGUGUCGUGAGGCAUGCUGGAGGUAUCAGAAGUGCGAAUGCUGACAUAAGUAACGAUAAAGCGGGUGAAAAGCCCGCUCGCCGGAAGACCAAGGGUUCCUGUCCAACGUUAAUCGGGGCAGGGUGAGUCGACCCCUAAGGCGAGGCCGAAAGGCGUAGUCGAUGGGAAACGGGUUAAUAUUCCCGUACUUGGUGUUACUGCGAAGGGGGGACGGAGAAGGCUAUGUUGGCCGGGCGACGGUUGUCCCGGUUUAAGCGUGUAGGUGUGUGUUCCAGGUAAAUCCGGUUCACUUUAACACUGAGGCGUGACGACGAGGCACUACGGUGCUGAAGCAACAAAUGCCCUGCUUCCAGGAAAAGCCUCUAAGCAUCAGGUAACACGAAAUCGUACCCCAAACCGACACAGGUGGUCAGGUAGAGAAUACCAAGGCGCUUGAGAGAACUCGGGUGAAGGAACUAGGCAAAAUGGUGCCGUAACUUCGGGAGAAGGCACGCUGACACGUAGGUGAAGUGAUUUACUCAUGGAGCUGAAGUCAGUCGAAGAUACCAGCUGGCUGCAACUGUUUAUUAAAAACACAGCACUGUGCAAACACGAAAGUGGACGUAUACGGUGUGACGCCUGCCCGGUGCCGGAAGGUUAAUUGAUGGGGUCAGCGUAAGCGAAGCUCCUGAUCGAAGCCCCGGUAAACGGCGGCCGUAACUAUAACGGUCCUAAGGUAGCGAAAUUCCUUGUCGGGUAAGUUCCGACCUGCACGAAUGGCGUAAUGAUGGCAAGGCAGUCUCCACCCGAGACUCAGUGAAAUUGAACUCGCUGUGAAGAUGCAGUGUACCCGCGGCAAGACGGAAAGACCCCGUGAACCUUUACUAUAGCUUGACACUGAACAUUGAGCCUUGAUGUGUAGGAUAGGUGGGAGGCUUUGAAGUGUGGACGCCAGUCUGCAUGGAGCCGACCUUGAAAUACCACCCUUUAAUGUUUGAUGUUCUAACGUGGACCCGUAAUCCGGGUUGCGGACAGUGUCUGGUGGGUAGUUUGACUGGGGCGGUCUCCUCCUAAAGAGUAACGGAGGAGCACGAAGGUUGGCUAAUCCUGGUCGGACAUCAGGAGGUUAGUGCAAUGGCAUAAGCCAGCUUGACUGCGAGCGUGACGGCGCGAGCAGGUGCGAAAGCAGGUCAUAGUGAUCCGGUGGUUCUGAAUGGAAGGGCCAUCGCUCAACGGAUAAAAGGUACUCCGGGGAUAACAGGCUGAUACCGCCCAAGAGUUCAUAUCGACGGCGGUGUUUGGCACCUCGAUGUCGGCUCAUCACAUCCUGGGGCUGAAGUAGGUCCCAAGGGUAUGGCUGUUCGCCAUUUAAAGUGGUACGCGAGCUGGGUUUAGAACGUCGUGAGACAGUUCGGUCCCUAACUGCCGUGGGCGCUGGAGAACCGAGGGGGGCUGUCCCUAGUACGAGAGGACCGGAGUGGACGCAUCACUGGUGUUCGGGUUGUCAUGCCAAUGGCACUGCCCGGUAGCUAAAUGCGGAAGAGAUAAGUGCUGAAAGCAUCUAAGCACGAAACUUGCCCCGAGAUGAGUUCUCCCUGAGACUUAGAGUCUCCUGAAGGAACGUUGAAGACGACGACGUUGAUAGGCCGGGUGUGUAAGCGCAGCGAUGCGUUGAGCUAACCGGUACUAAUGAACCGUGAGGCUUAACCUUACAACGCCGAAG